AUUGAACGCUAGCGGGAUGCUUACACAUGCAAGUCGAACGAGUGGCGGACGGGUGAGUAAUAUCUCGGAAAGUGCCCGGUAGCGGGGGAUAACUACUGGAAACAGUGCUAUACCGCAUACUAUUGGAGCGGCCGAUAUCGGAUUAGCUAGUUGGUGGGGUAACGGCUCACCAAGGCAACGAUCCCUAGCUGGUCUGAGAGGAUGACCAGCCACACUGGGACUGAGACACGGCCCAGACUCCUACGGGAGGCAGCAGUGGGGAAUUUUGGACAAUGGGGGAAAGCCUGAUCCAGCCAUCCCGCGUGUAUGAUGAAGGCUUCGGGUUGUAAAGUACUUUGAGCAAAGAAGCGUUAUCUGCAGAAGAAGCACCGGCUAACUACGUGCCAGCAGCCGCGGUAAUAC
rnacentral:rRNA from 1 species